rnacentral:rRNA from 1 species
AACGAACGCUGGCGGCAUGCCUAACACAUGCAAGUCGAACGAGACCUUCGGGUCUAGUGGCGCACGGGUGCGUAACGCGUGGGAACCUGCCCUUAGGUUCGGGAUAACUCCCCGAAAGGGGUGCUAAUACCGGAUAAUGUCUUCGGACCAAAGAUUUAUCGCCUUUGGAUGGGCCCGCGUUGGAUUAGCUAGUUGGUAGGGUAAAAGCCUACCAAGGCGACGAUCCAUAGCUGGUCUGAGAGGAUGAUCAGCCACACUGGGACUGAGACACGGCCCAGACUCCUACGGGAGGCUGCAGUGGGGAAUAUUGGACAAUGGGCGAAAGCCUGAUCCAGCAAUGCCGCGUGAGUGAUGAAGGCCUUAGGGUUGUAAAGCUCUUUUACCCGGGAUGAUAAUGACAGUACCGGGAGAAUAAGCUCCGGCUAACUCCGUG